UAUAACCCAAUAAUCGAGGAAAAUAAUAAUAAAAAUGUCCCUUUUUCUCAUUGAAGAAAAAGGCAUGUGAGACUCUGGGGGGAGGGGACUACCAGCAUCUUUGGCGCCUGAGCAAGGUGCCCUUCUUUUUUCAUGGGGUGGCGACCACCUGUAAGUGACCUUUCCAUUCCAAUCCACUGGCAAAUUUCUAUGAUAAAGUCAGGCUUUUUUUUAUAUUAAAAAGCAUAGCACGCCGUUUCAUAGAUUCGUUUUGUGAGAGUGAUUUCUAGCAAACUUCAGUCACAAGAAGGAUCGAAUUUAACCCAAAAAGUUCUUACGCACUCACUAGCAAAGCAACUUCUUGUACUCCUGCUUGACCUGCUAAUUCUGCUGGUUGCUUGGAGAUUGGCUUUCCACUCUCUUAGAAUCUCCUCCUCUCAAGGCCGAGUGCUUUUUUUCAUGCAAAACUCAAAAGUUGACGGAGCCAAUCUGAUGGGUGGAAGGACACAAGAAUCUGAUGCAAGGAUAGAAGUGUGUGGGUGACAAAAACAAGGAAUUUAACCACAGAAAGUGUAAAGUAGAUCGCCAUGGAAAACAAAACGGGCGUGGAGCAUCUAGUAUUCUGUUAAACAAGGCAACUCAGAAAUUGCUGCACAAUCAACAUGCGAAGAUUGAGUGAGGAGAUGAUCAAAGAUAUGAUAAUCAACGUGUGAUUGCCUGUGCUGAUUUCUCUCCGACAGCAGCAGCAUUAUUGCUAAUUAACAGAUGGAUUGGCUUUCCUUUGAUAGUGCUGCAAUAAUCAAUAAUAAAACUUUCCUUGUAUAUAGCUUUCCCUGUACAUAAAGCUUUCCUUGUAAAUCUUGUUCAUUGCGCUGUAUAAAACGUAAUGAAUAUAUAGCUUACCCUUUCUUUGUAUUCUUUCAGUAUGUCUGUUUAUCAACUAGAUCUAUAUGUCCAGUUUUUUUUAUAAAAAAAAUAGACGAGAUAAAUUUGCCAAUGAAA